UACGUAGGUGGCAAGCGUUGUCCGGAAUUAUUGGGCGUAAAGCGCGCGCAGGCGGCCUUUUAAGUCUGAUGUGAAAGCCCACGGCUCAACCGUGGAAGGUCAUUGGAAACUGAAAGGCUUGAGUACAGAAGAGGAAAGCGGAAUUCCACGUGUAGCGGUGAAAUGCGUAGAGAUGUGGAGGAACGCCAGUGGCGAAGGCGGCUUUCUGGUCUGUAACUGACGCUGAGGCGCGAAAGCCAGGGGAGCAAACGUG
rnacentral:rRNA from 1 species